rnacentral:misc_RNA from 1 species
AGAGAAGCUCGUCAACAAGAAAAUAAUUCUGAUGUAAAUUUUCUCGGAGUAAAAUCAAAUUUAUCCAACACUCCAUAAUUAUUCUCAACAAUUUCAUCAGAUUUAAGGGCAAAAAUUAUAUUAAUUUUUUUUUCAAGAUUCUGUUCAUCAACGUCCAUGAAUCCAGAAUCAAUAUUAGUAGCUUCUUGAAUCCCCAGCUUCUCUAACCCCAG